rnacentral:rRNA from 1 species
UACAGAGGGUGCAAGCGUUGUUCGGAAUUACUGGGCGUAAAGGGCGUGUAGGCGGCUUAGCAAGUCAGAUGUGAAAUCCCGGGGCUUAACUUCGGAAGUGCAUUUGAAACUGCUAGGCUAGAGUGAAGUAGAGGUUGGUGGAAUUCCCAGUGUAGAGGUGAAAUUCGUAGAUAUUGGGAGGAACACCGGUGGCGAAGGCGGCCAACUGGGCUUUAACUGACGCUGAGGAGCGAAAGCAUGGGGAGCGAACAGG